rnacentral:ncRNA from 1 species
UAAGCGGAAGCCGAAAAGCUCAAAGAGUAGGUA